UGGGGAAUAUUGGACAAUGGGCGAAAGCCUGAUCCAGCCAUGCCGCGUGUGUGAAGAAGGUCUUCGGAUUGUAAAGCACUUUAAGUUGGGAGGAAGGGCAGUAAAUUAAUACUUUGCUGUUUUGACGUUACCGACAGAAUAAGCACCGGCUAACUCUGUGCCAGCAGCCGCGGUAAUACAGAGGGUGCAAGCGUUAAUCGGAAUUACUGGGCGUAAAGCGCGCGUAGGUGGUUCGUUAAGUUGGAUGUGAAAUCCCCGGGCUCAACCUGGGAACUGCAUUCAAAACUGACGAGCUAGAGUAUGGUAGAGGGUGGUGGAAUUUCCUGUGUAGCGGUGAAAUGCGUAGAUAUAGGAAGGAACACCAGUGGCGAAGGCGACCACCUGGACUGAUACUGACACUGAGGUGCGGAAGCGUGGGGAGCAAACAGGAUUAGAUACCCAAGUAGUCCCUGAGCGGGCUGGCAAGGCGCAU
rnacentral:rRNA from 1 species